AGAGUUUGAUCAUGGCUCAGAUUGAACGCUGGCGGCAGGCCUAACACAUGCAAGUCGAGCGGAAACGAGUUCUCUGAACCUUCGGGGAACGUGAACGGCGUCGAGCGGCGGACGGGUGAGUAAUGCCUGGGAAAUUGCCCUGAUGUGGGGGAUAACCAUUGGAAACGAUGGCUAAUACCGCAUAAUAGCUUCGGCUCAAAGAGGGGGACCUUCGGGCCUCUCGCGUCAGGAUAUGCCCAGGUGGGAUUAGCUAGUUGGUGAGGUAAGGGCUCACCAAGGCAACGAUCCCUAGCUGGUCUGAGAGGAUGAUCAGCCACACUGGAACUGAGACACGGUCCAGACUCCUACGGGAGGCAGCAGUGGGGAAUAUUGCACAAUGGGCGCAAGCCUGAUGCAGCCAUGCCGCGUGUAUGAAGAAGGCCUUCGGGUUGUAAAGUACUUUCAGCAGUGAGGAAGGUUCNNNGUUAAUAGCGUAGGNNNGACGUA
rnacentral:rRNA from 1 species